rnacentral:rRNA from 1 species
AACGAACGCUGGCGGCAUGCCUAACACAUGCAAGUCGAACGAGACCUUCGGGUCUAGUGGCGCACGGGUGCGUAACGCGUGGGAACCUGCCCUUAGGUUCGGAAUAACUCCCCGAAAGGGGUGCUAAUACCGGAUAAUGUCUUCGGACCAAAGAUUUAUCGCCUUUGGAUGGGCCCGCGUUGGAUUAGCCAGUUGGUAGGGUAAAAGCCUACCAAGGCGACGAUCCAUAGCUGGUCUGAGAGGAUGAUCAGCCACACUGGGACUGAGGCACGGCCCAGAACCCUACGGGAAGCAGCAGUGGGGAAUAUUGGACAAUGGGCGAAAGCGUGAUCCAGCAAUGCCGCGUGAGUGAGGAAGGCCGUAGGGUUGUAAAGCUCUUUUACCCGGGAUGAUAAUGACAGUACCGGGAGAAUAAGCUCCGGCUAACUCCGUG